GAGCUUAGAGCCUUGCCCGGCGCCCUGUGCUGCUGCGGAGCCGUCGGGCGGGGGAGCGCGAGGGCAGCCGUGCAACAGGGCAUUUUUCUGAAUCUGCGUGCUUAUUUUCGAGAAUUUCCUGGGAGACGGUGCCAAAAGUCUUGCUAUGAAAAAAACAAUCUAGCUAUUUAUCCAGAAUGAUGAUAGAGCUUGCAUUUCUUGGACAAUACAUUAAAGUAAAAGAUGGGAAAUUUCCUCCAAGAAAUUUAUACCUGUUUUAAACCUCAGUGCUUCUUCCCAUGGUUGUUUAUCAAACUGAAGUUUUCUAAGAACUUAUACCGUUCUGUACAAACUAUAUUGAACUGCCAGAAUAAAUUAUUUUUAAAUAUGAUCUGCAAAGGGAAAAUAA